UGUGUGUGUGUGUGUAUAUAUAUAUAUAUAUAUUUAAAAAAUUCUUUUGACAGAGUCUCGCUCUAUCACCCAGGUCUCGUCUUGAACUCCUGGCCUCAACUGAUCCAUCCACCUCAGCCUCCCAAAGUGCUGGGAUUACAAGCAUGUGCCACUUCUCCCGGCCUGCAAAAUUAUACUUUGAGGCCUUCCUCAAAUACAAAACUGUCACUGUACCCUGCUCCUUCCAACUCUAGGAUAUCAACUUCAAACCUUUGA
rnacentral:lncRNA from 1 species